CUGGCAGGCUCGGAGGCGGAAGUUCUGUGUUUAUUCACAGAGCAGUUACAUUGUGGGCAUGGGUAGUGCAAACUUCCCCCCACGCUGCCCCAUCAAUGUGACUCGACACUGAACUGGAGGGACUGCCUCUCUAGGGCGUGAGGGGGCAAGUCAUGCUUCAGGUCCAGACACUCCUUUGUCUCU
ensembl:misc_RNA